rnacentral:rRNA from 1 species
ACGACGCUGGCGGCGUGCCUAAUACAUGCAAGUCGAACGGUCUUUUCUAUGGAAGCUUGCUUCCACUGAGAAGAUAGUGGCGAACGGGUGAGUAACACGUGGGUAACCUGCCCAUAAGAGGGGGAUAACAUCCGGAAACGGGUGCUAAUACCGCAUAGUUUUCUUGAUCGCAUGAUCGGGAAAGGAAAGACGGCCUUUGUGCUGUCGCUUAUGGAUGGACCCGCGGCGUAUUAGUUAGUUGGUGAGGUAAUGGCUCACCAAGACGAUGAUACGUAGCCGACCUGAGAGGGUGAUCGGCCACAUUGGGACUGAGACACGGCCCAAACUCCUACGGGAGGCAGCAGUAGGGAAUCUUCCGCAAUGGACGAAAGUCUGACGGAGCAACGCCGCGUGAGUGAAGAAAGGUUUUCGGAUCGUAAAACUCUGUUGUCAGAGAAGAACAAGUUGGAGAGUAACUGCUCCAGCCUUGACGGUAUCUGACCAGAAAGCCACGGCUAACUACGUGCCAGCCGCCGC